ACCAGCAGCUAAAUCACCCUGCAACUCACUGCCAACCCACUGAAGCUCAGCAGGUGUGAGCCUGGUCAGUACCUGGAUGGGAGACCUCCUGGGAAAGGUUGCUGCUGGAA
rnacentral:rRNA from 1 species